rnacentral:rRNA from 1 species
GACGAACGCUGGCGGCGUGCUUAACACAUGCAAGUCGAACGGUAAGGCCCUUUCGGGGGUACACGAGUGGCGAACGGGUGAGUAACACGUGGGUGAUCUGCCCUGCACUUUGGGAUAAGCCUGGGAAACUGGGUCUAAUACCGGAUAGGACUACGCGAUGCAUGUCGUGUGGUGGAAAGCUUUUGCGGUGUGGGAUGGGCCCGCCGCCUAUCAGCUUGUUGGUGGGGUGAUGGCCUACCAAGGCGACGACGGGUAGCCGGCCUGAGAGGGUGUCCGGCCACACUGGGACUGAGAUACGGCCCAGACUCCUACGGGAGGCAGCAGUGGGGAAUAUUGCACAAUGGGCGCAAGCCUGAUGCAGCGACGCCGCGUGGGGGAUGACGGCCUUCGGGUUGUAAACCCCUUUCAGCACAGACGAAGCGUAAGUGACGGUAUGUGCAGAAGAAGCACCGGCCAACUACGUG